UCUCGACCCACCUUUCCCCCACCCUUUCAGACGCUGCUCUUCCCUUACUCCCUCCUCGCCUCACUUUUCUCUGCACCAAGCAGCUCGAUUUAGGGCUUCACCAUUUCUCUUCGAAUCAAGACCAUAAUUUUUAAGCAACAAAAUUAAGCUGGAAAUUAAAUUGAGUUUCCAGGAUCUACAAUUGCAAAUCCUUUGAUGGAUAAAACACAGAGGACCAGCUACGCUUAUAGAGCUUCUUUAGCAUCAGUAAAAAGGUCAUACCCAGUGCACAAGGCUCCCGCUUUACGCAGGGUCUGGGAGAGGUGAAUGUUGGCUAGCCUUACCCCCAUUUAUGGAGAGGCUGCUCCCAAGUCUCGAACCCGAGACCUACCGCUCAUGGGCGAAGACACUUGCCAUUGCACCAAGUGCGACCUCUAAUGCUAUCCAGAGUGAUUCAAAGAAUUUCAAGAGCUUCAUUCAUCCAAUUUAUGUUCUUCAUGUAAAAAUUCUUUCAAUAAGUUCAAACAUCUUUCGGUAUAGAUAACAUUAACAUUCUGUAACAAUAUAUUAUAGCUUUGAAACAUUUUUCCAUACAAUUUAUAAUCCCGCAGCAACGCGCGGGCAAUUAUUUCUAGUACAUUCAA